rnacentral:rRNA from 1 species
GAUGAACGCUGGCGGCGUGCCUAAUACAUGCCAGUCGAGCGAACGGACGAGAAGCUUGCUUCUCUGAUGUUAGCGGCGGACGGGUGAGUAACACGUGGAUAACCUACCUAUAAGACUGGGAUAACUUCGGGAAACCGUAGCUAAUACCGGAUAAUAUUUUGAACCGCAUGGUUCAAAAGUGAAAGACGGUCUUGCUGUCACUUAUAGAUGGAUCCGCGCUGCAUUAGCUAGUUGGUAAGGUAACGGCUUACCAAGGCAACGAUGCAUAGCCGACCUGAGAGGGUGAUCGGCCACACUGGAACUGAGACACGGUCCAGACUCCUACGGGAGGCAGCAGUAGGGAAUCUUCCGCAAUGGGCGAAAGCCUGACGGAGCAACGCCGCGUGAGUGAUGAAGGUCUUCGGAUCGUAAAACUCUGUUAUUAGGGAAGAACAGAUGUGUAAGUAACUGUGCACAUCUUGACGGUACCUAAUCAGAAAGCCACGGCUAACUACGUG